AGAGUUUGAUCCUGGCUCAGGACGAACGCUGGCGGCGUGCUUAACACAUGCAAGUCGAACGGAAAGGCCCCUUCGGGGGUACUCGAGUGGCGAACGGGUGAGUAACACGUGGGUGAUCUGCCCUGCACUUUGGGAUAAGCCUGGGAAACUGGGUCUAAUACCGAAUAGGACCGCAUGCUUCAUGGUGUGUGGUGGAAAGCUUUUGCGGUGUGGGAUGGGCCCGCGGCCUAUCAGCUUGUUGGUGGGGUAAUGGCCUACCAAGGCGACGACGGGUAGCCGGCCUGAGAGGGUGUCCGGCCACACUGGGACUGAGAUACGGCCCAGACUCCUACGGGAGGCAGCAGUGGGGAAUAUUGCACAAUGGGCCCAAGCCUGAUGCAGCGACGCCGCGUGGGGGAUGACGGCCUUCGGGUUGUAAACCUCUUUCAGUAUCGGCGAAGCUCCAGGAUUUUUCUUGGGGUGACGGUAGGUACAGAAGAAGCACCGGCCAACUACGUGCCAGCAGCCGCGGUAAUACGUAGGGUGCGAGCGUUGUCCGGAAUUACUGGGCGUAAAGAGCUCGUAUGUGGUUUGUCACGUUGUCCGUGAAAACUCACAGCUUAACUGUGGGCGUGCGGGCGAUACGGGCAGACUGGAGUACUGUAGGGGAGACUGGAAUUCCUGGUGUAGCGGUGGAAUGCGCAGAUAUCAGGAGGAACACCGGUGGCGAAGGCGGGUCUCUGGGCAGUAACUGACGCUGAGGAGCGAAAGCGUGGGGAGCAAACAGGAUUAGAUACCCCGGUAGUCCAA
rnacentral:rRNA from 1 species